rnacentral:sRNA from 1 species
AUGUUCCUUCUUCUGGUGCUUCUCACUGGACUUGGUGGGAUGCAUGCAGACCUCAAUCCUCAUAAAAUCUUCCUGCAGACCACAAUUCCAGAGAAGAUUUCAUCAUCGGAUGCAAAAACAGAUCCAGAACAUAAUGUUAUUUACAUGAUUACCAUAGAAGGAAAGCCAUAUUUUGUCCAUCUCAAAAAGCAAUCAAUUUUAUCUUCAGCUUCUGUUAUUAAUUCUUAUGACGAAAAUGACAUCCGUCAUUCCAAACCUCUGCUAGUUCAGAUGGAUUGCAAUUAUAAUGGAUAUGUUGUGGGUAUUCCAAAUUCUCUUGUGACUCUCAGCAUAUGUUCAGGACUCAGGGGAACAAUGCAGCUGAAAAACAUCUCAUAUGGAAUUGAACCGAUAGAGGCUGUAUCAGGAUUUAUACACAAGAUUUAUGAAGAAAAAUAUGCUGACACUAAUAUUCUCUUAGAAGAAAAUGACACUUAUACUUGGUUUAAUUCAGAGUAUCAAGUCAGAAAAAGUUCAGAAUUCAAACCGGCUAAUACGAUUUAUAGGAAAUCAGUUGAUAAAGAAUGCGAUUUCACUGACUAUUACAAUGGGGACCUUCCAUACUGUUUGCCUGACACUUAUGUACGUGAUGGAGAAUAUUGUGAUUCAGAUGGAGCCUUCUGUUUUCAAGGAAAGUGUUGGACUUUUGACAAACAAUGUGAUGAUUUAAUUGGAAGAGGUUCAAGAGGUGCUCCAAUUUUCUGUUAUGAUGAAAUUAAUACCAGAGGAGACAAUUUUGGAAACUGUGGCACUGCACAUUGUCUUUUCCAACAUAUUCUAUGUGCAAAAUUAUUCUGUACAUGGGAACACAGAGACUUAAUAUCACGUCCAAAUUUAUCUGUGAUUUAUGCACAUGUAGGAGACCAAACAUGUGUGUCUAUAUACCUACCCAGGAGGACGCCACCUCCAGUAAAUUCACCUAUUUCAAUCACAUCAUAUUAUUCAGCUGAAGACAGAGAUGAAACAUUUGUACAAGAUGGUUCCAUGUGUGGUCCUGAUAUGUAUUGUUUCGAAAUGCAUUGUAAACAUGUUAGAUUCCUGAUGAAUUUAAAAUUGUGUGAUGCUUCUAAUCAUUGUGAUCGUCAUGGAGUUUGUAACAAUUUUAACCAUUGCCAUUGUGAAAAGGGAUAUAAUCCUCCUUACUGCCAACCAAAGCAAGGAGCAUUUGGAAGUAUUGAUGAUGGACACUUAGUACCACCAACUG